ACUAAGUUAUCCCCAUUGCAUUUAGAGGGGGUCCCCGUUAAAAAUCGCCUUCAAUGAGUAAAAUACAUGUUUUUGGCGAGUUCCACUGGUUAAAUUCGAAUACCCACGUCACUUCCACCUGUGGACAAGAAAAACAACCCGCGGCAAGUAGCCCAAUUCCGCGGGAAAACUGCGGAUUUGGAAACACUGCACCUCAUGUACUAAACCUUGACAGUAGUGGUAACAAAGCUGAGAUAAACGCAUUUGCUAUUAAACAUUUAGCUUACUUUUACAAAUCUGUGAGCUCUUUUAUCGAGUGUCAUGAUUCAAGUGCAGUGCUGUACCAGGACAUGACAUCACUCGCCGGGGUCACGACCCGCCGCCGACUCAACGAUAGAGAAAAAAAAAGAAAAGGAAAGGGGUUAGAGAUGAAGACGGGAAAAGAAAGAGUUGGGAAGUGCUGCUCUGUAGGUCACCUUGCCUGGCUGAGGGAUCAAUAUGGCUUUGACUCACUGGUUAAAGAGAGAGAGAGACUGCAGCCAGACACCUUGCCAGUAAAUCACCUCGCCAGCUUCAUUGAGAUGCAGCUGUGAGCCCACAUCCUGUGUGCUGUGACAAUGAGAGGGAAGCUUGACUCACUCUUCGAAUUAUUUGGGGGCUGAUAAUAGUGAUGGCUUGAGAGAACGAACGAUGGGCCUGAAGAGAGAAAGAAGCUUGGAGGAAACAAAACCAAGAUGUGACACUGAGAAGCAGACCGUUAUAUGAAAUCUUGAGUUCAGACAAUGUCUAAUCAUAAACUCAUGAUUUUUUUUUUUUUUUUGUGCUUAAUAAAACACAAACAGACCACACUCAUUUGUUUUGGUGAACUCUUAAGGGAAAGCAUCUGCUAAUGACAUUUCUGAGGUAACUAUAGGCCUGAGUGAUAACUGGUAGAAAUCAAAUAAAGGUUAUUAAUUGUUAAUAGUCUGUAAGCACACAGUCAGGUUAUUCUUAUCCAAAGAAAACAAGAAUUUAAUCGAACUGACAGUUUGUGUCAAUGUUCAGCGCGCUUUGGUAAAUCUGAUUUCGAGGCGAAUCUGUUUGUCAGAAUCACAGUCGCGCGGAAUAGCAGUUAUUUAAAUAGCAGUUUAAGCAAGUCUCACGAAAUGAAUGAAUGAAACUAAACCUUGAUCAGAUGUGUAUAAACUAUGCGCUGGA